rnacentral:misc_RNA from 1 species
AAGUCGUAACAAGGUUUCCGUAGGUGAACCUGCGGAAGGAUCAUUACCGAGCGCGAGGCCACGCAGGGCGCCAGCCCCGCGUGGCCGACCCUCCACCCGUGCUGAUAUUUCAGGCUACUUUGGCGGGCCGGGCUCGACCUACCGGCUCCGGCCGGGAGCGCCCGCCAGAGACGCCCCAACUCGUGCUGUCAGUGAUGUCUGAGUUACAAUUAAUAAAGUAAAA